rfam:Brassica oleracea var. oleracea cultivar TO1000 chromosome C9, whole genome shotgun sequence
GUCGAGCUACGUCACGAGAGCUUGUGACACGAUUGGGGACAAUAAGAUGGUGGAACACUGGUUAGGUCCACGGGUCGGUUCUGGUUUGGCAUGUUUCUGAGAGUUAUCUGUCUGGUUUGAGCUAUCUGGUUUGAGCAAAGGCUCGAGUCAGGUGGGUGCUAAAGUUGGAUGGUAAUGCGCCAGGCUGGUUUUACAGAGCAUCGACUACUUCCCGCUCUCAGCAGUGUGCGGAUAACGGCUAGGCACCACUCAGACCCACUAUGGUGUGCUGGUUCGUUCUUCAGCUGGACCACCAUUUAA